GACGAACGCUGGCGGCGUGCUUAACACAUGCAAGUCGAACGGAAAGGCCCUGCUUUUGUGGGGUGCUCGAGUGGCGAACGGGUGAGUAACACGUGAGUAACCUGCCCUUGACUUUGGGAUAACUUCAGGAAACUGGGGCUAAUACCGGAUAGGAGCUCCUGCUGCAUGGUGGGGGUUGGAAAGUUUCGGCGGGUGGGGAUGGACUCGCGGCUUAUCAGCUUGUUGGUGGGGUAGUGGCUUACCAAGGCUUUGGCGGGUAGCCGGCCGGAGAGGGUGACCGGCCACAUUGGGACUGAGAUACGGCCCAGACUCCUACGGGAGGCAGCAGUGGGGAAUAUUGCACAAUGGGCGGAAGCCUGAUGCAGCAACGCCGCGUGCGGGAUGACGGCCUUCGGGUUGUAAACCGCUUUCGCCUGUGACGAAGCGUGAGUGACGGUAAUGGGUAAAGAAGCACCGGCUAACUACGUG
rnacentral:rRNA from 1 species